rnacentral:rRNA from 1 species
AUUGAACGCUGGCGGCAGGCCUAACACAUGCAAGUCGAACGGUAACAGGAAGCAGCUUGCUGCUUUGCUGCCGAGUGGCGGACGGGUGAGUAAUGUCUGGGAAACUGCCCGAUGGAGGGGGAUAACUACUGGAAACGGUAGCUACUACCGCAUAACGUCGCAAGCCCAAAGAGGGGGACCUUAUGGCCUCUUGCCAUCGGAUGUGCCCAGAUGGGAUUAGCUAGUAGGUGGGGUAACGGCUCACCUAGGCGACGAUCCCUAGCUGGUCUGAGAGGAUGACCAGCCACACUGGAACUGAGACACGGUCCAGACUCCUACGGGAGGCAGCAGUGGGGAAUAUUGCACAAUGGGCGCAAGCCUGAUGCAGCCAUGCCGCGUGUAUGAAGAAGGCCUUCGGGUUGUAAAGUACUUUCAGCGGGGAGGAAGGGAGUAAAGUUAAUACCUUGGCUCAUUGACGUUACCCGCAGAAGAAGCACCGGCUAACUCCGUG